UGUCGAUGUAGGAGCUUCUGUUAACGAGGCAGAGAAGGUAGAAAGAGUUAAGGAAAUUAUCAAGCGAUGUUUUUUGUCGAUACGGACGACUAAAAAUGAUGAUUUACUGAUGAUUAUCCUAUUAUUGUUUGCUUUUGUUUAAAACGAGUGGAGAAAUAUAACUAGCUUUAAAGAAAGGAAUGCAGCUUUGCUAAUGAUGUCAGAGAAGAUGAACGAGCAUUAAAAGACGAGUAUUUCAGGUUUGUUUUUAACGCUUUACUGGUAAAUUUGCUUUUGAAUUUUUUUUUAUUUUAUAUUUUCGAAAAGUUAACUUCCAAUGGGUAACGCCCUAAAGUUGUAGAUUGCGUGAGUUAUCCAGCAAACAGUAUUAAUUCUGGAGUGAACAUUUGGUCACGGUUAGACGUCUUUAAUUCGUCCACAUCGGGAAUAUUUCGAUUUAUCUGUACUCGUGGAAUUUGUUUUGACAGUGAAUGUUUCGCGCCAUUUAACACCGUGUUCAAUAGAUUGUAAAUUUUGAACUUUAUAACGUUAACACAUGGCUUCUUCUAAAUAAAGAUACGCUAUUUAUUUCUAGUAUAAGUGUAAUUAUUUUAAUAACUUUGGGUGUCUCCUAACUGAUAACAGUAACCGAUUGUUAACAUUAAGCGGGAUAAGUAAAUAAGACUACAAUUAGAGGAAGUAUUGGUUUCACUGAUGCUAACAUUAAAACAAUUUAAAAAAACGUAUAAUUCGAAAACUUAUUAAUUCUAAUUAUUAUUAAUUAAUAAAUACUUCGUACAGUAUUGUUUGCUACCAAUUUCAAUUUACAAUUUAAACUAUUGUAUUGUAAGAGAAUAACGAUUAAAACGAUUAAAUUAAAGCACUGGUAGCAUAAAAAUCAUUAUAGCUUAUUGUUAUCAGCCAUAUGUUGAAGCUGCCACCAGCACAAAAAAGAAAACAUAAAAACCAUCUAUUGACCCGAAGAUGAUAACAAUAACUGAAGUUUUAUGAUUUAUAAUAACUUGGAAACUGUUAAUUUUGAUAAUUAACUGGUUCCAAAUUACAAUCCGCGAUUACAAUAAGCGGAGUAUAGUGUAUAUAUAAUAAUAAACAUUUAAACUUUACUGUAUAACAUGUAAAUGGCCCUCUCGUGUGAAUUUAAUCAUGGAAAUAAAUCUCAUUUUAAUAAAUUAAGUUUCAACCCCAUAUAUUUCGGUUGUAAUUUGUGUCAGAGUUAAAAGUUGAAAAUUAUUUUGGUUUAAACGCUUCAUCAUUUUUAUCACUUUACGAAUUUUAAUUUCGUUAUUUUUUUGAAAUAUAUCCAAGUUUCUUAUCGAAAAUGCCGCAACAACAAAAAAAAAAAAAAAGAUAUAUUUUUUGGAACUAAUCCAAUGAUUUUAGACGGAAAUUUUCACUCGGUAAUUACUACAUAAUAUUCUAACGAGGUUUCAACUACUAGAUUAAAUCAUUAAUGAA